ACCAUGUGAAAACACAGGGAGAAGGUGGCCACCUAUAAGCCAAGGGGAGAGGCCUCGGAAGAAAAAUCAACCCUCCUGAUACCUUGAUCACAGACAUCAAGUUUUCACAACUUUAACUUCUUCAACUCAGCUGGAGCCAAAAGCCAAGAUAUAAGGAAACCGCAGGACAAUGUGAGAAUGUUAAAUAGCAGAUCGUAACACACUUCAGGAUCCACCCGGAUGAAAAAAAGGU